AGAAGGACUUGGGCCCCCACGAGCGUUGCCGGGGAGUGGGUCUUCCUUACGCCACAUUUCACGCACACGGCACGCGGCGGGGAUUCGGCACUGGGCUCUUCCCUGUUCACUCGCCAUUACUGAGGGAAUCCUGGCAGGCACCCGACCAGGCCCCGCUGAUGUGUCCCCAUGGUGGGGAGAGCAGGCGAGGACGGGAGCGAGAGCGCUGGAACGAGCAGGAAUGAGCCACGAGAAGGGUGGCCAGCCCGAGGCGCCGGUGGACAGGGAGACCUAGGCCCACGCAGACCCACCGGGCGUGGACGACCGCCGGACGCCGCCCAGUCUGAACUUCAGGAGACGGAGGGCCAAGGGGUGAGAAGCUAAUACAGAGAGGAGCAGAAAUUAAAAUCAAAGCAGCUCAGAGCAUCAAAGAAGCCUGUGGUAAAACCAAAUCUGCAGCAACACAAUUGUAAGCAAUACCCAUUAUGGAAAAGUAAAAGACAAUGCAAAAGGUUCAUUAAUGUAUAUGAUGGAAACUGUUCCUUCUACCAUCAACUCUGUGUGUGUGUGUGUGUGUGUGUGUGAAUUUUCUCUCUUCCCUGGUCUUUCUCACUGACCCCAAGGAGUUAAGAGUUCAUAGGUUUUUCGCUGAUCAUAGAGAGUGCCAACCCCCAGUAACUUAAGCUUUGCUCCCUCAGAAAACUGUCUGUUGAGUAACAUCUCUAGUCGCUGGCUGCCUGUUGCAGCAUCCCCAUAGGUGUCUGGAUCCACCCCAAUCAAUAGCUUUAAGCACUGACUCCCAAUGGCUGCCUGCCUCAUUUUACCCACCACACAGAUGCCAACAUUGGUCAUCAGCAAUAGUAGAAAAUCGUUUACUUUUAAUUUAAAAGGAAAUCGAGUUUCAGCUUAAUUUUCUGUGUGUUUUCUUGAAUAUAUGUGACUGUGUCCGUGAAGAGACAGACUGCCCAGAAGGGCAGUUAUGAACAGUUGUGAGGCGAGUUUUUCUUAUUUGUAAAGACUGACAAAUAAUGCCUCGCCAAUGCCAUACAAAUAAAAAAAGAAAAAGAAAAAGAAAAAGAAAAAUAUAGCUUUCAAUUUCUUAUCAUUUUAUACCUCAAGGAAGCUAAACAUGACAAUGCCUAUUACUGUUAUUAUUAUUAUUAUUAUUAUUAUUAUUAUUAUUAUUAUUAUUAUUAUGGUUUUCACCGGAGGAUCACUAGGGACUAUUAUGUUAUUUAAAAUUCUUUACAUGGUAGUAUAGAUGAAGGACUCAGACUAAAAUAUUUCCUUUGUAAUAUAUAUUUCAUAAGUGGAAAUUGUAGAACUGACUUGCUAGGCUUAAUUUUUCUAAAAAUAUAAAAAAAAUCAUCUAUCCAUUAAGAAAUAGAACUCACUUAGCUUCUCCAUACCUACCUUCAUAGCCACAAGAAGCAAUUUCAUCUCUAGAAAAAAACAGAAUCAAUUCAAUUUCUUUGCGUAGAAUUGGGAUUCUUACUCACUGAUGAAUCUGAUAUUAGGUCUGCAUUAAAAUAAGAUUUAAUCAUUAUGUUAAAAUAUAUUUUCCUGGGGUUGGGGAUUUAGCUCAGUGGUAGAGCGCUUGCCUAGUAAGCGCAAGGCCCUGGGUUCGGUCCCCAGCUCCGAAAAAAAAAUAUAUUUUCCUUAAAUGUUAUUAAGGAAAUAUGGUUUCUAUUAUUUUCAGGUGCAAAUAUUUAGGUUCCAAACACCUGCAUGAAUGGCCAUACUUAGUACAAAAACAAGUAAAAUUGAUUUUUUAUUUUUCAGCAGUGUUCAGACAAAAACGCGUCACUAUAAACUCACGGUAUCAUGUUUUAAUAAAUGUAAACCAUUCUGUUUACCUUGUCAGACAGUCCCUGGGGUAGGCAAGGGUGGAAGUGGUAAGGAGGAUGAAGUCUACCUCCUUGCUUAGGAGAACUAUGCAGCUCACUAUAAUAGGAAAAACAGAAAAGAAGUUUCUUGGAAUGGUUAUUUUUUCUUUCCUAAAAGAACUUUCUAUAGAACUUACAGCUAAUAUGUUAAAGAAAUUUCAAGUUUCUGCCAGCCAUUUGAUUAAACAAAAACUUACCAAUCAUUUUUAGAAAGUUUGGUUUCCUGUUUCCCAUAUCCAGAAACUAAGUCAGUGUAACUAGAUGAUCUCAUCUAUACAGUACAUCCAUCCAUACAUGCGUGCACACACACACACACACACACACACACACACAAAUAUAUGCACAUUAUAUAAACAUUUUUAUAUACUAUAAUGACACUUUAUCUUAAACAUUAAAGUAUUUCUUUUAUACACAGGUAAAAACAGUCUAACAGCAUUAUUUUCUACUUGUCAUGAAACAAGUGCACCUUCAACUAAAAAACCUGAGCUCAAUUUUUGUCAGUAGUAACUGCUUUACAGAACAUAAUUCCAGUUUCGAUAGAAAAACAGCUUACCAGCAUUUGUAAUAUCCAAACCAAAUUUGCAAUCUCACCCAGAUGUAUAAAUGUGCCCGGCACCUGAACCAUAAAGAAGUCCAUUAAUAAUGGAUUAGUAUAUUAAAGAAAUUGGUCAUUGCUGUCGAUAAUACUAUUAGGUUAAGCAUGAUGUGUGGUUUUAUAGAACUUUUUCUGCUACAAACAACACUGUUUGUAAAGCAAGACCCAAAUCUAUCACUUUAGCUAAUUCCAAACAAAGCUAUUCUGUGUACACUGCAGUAGCACAGAGUUUAAAAAACUACUCACUGCCUCUUUUUCACACAUAUUGAAACACCUCAAUGUUCUAUGAAAAACAGCAAAGUUAUUGCACCACCAGAAAUACACAGUACAAUAUCUAACUUCAUUUCAGUAGAGCAUGAGACUUAAUCUCAGGGUCAAAGGCACCAAUUAAAAAAGGAAUUAAACACUCUAACUAGUCCAAAUAAAAGACACACAAUCCAGGUACUUUAUUUAAAAGUCAUAAGCCUAAUUGGGCAGGUUUACAGCUAUACUACACUAUUUCCAUGCCAUAAUGUCCCUUGUUACUUGCUGUUUUUUCCAGGACAUAUGCUCAGGGUCCAUCUCCUCACCUGGUGGCUUUCUCCUCCCUUGGUCUCCUCUCUUGUUCCCCCUUCUCUUCUCUCUUGAGACCCUCCACUCCAUCCUCAAGUCCCACCUUUCUUCUUCUAUUGCCUAAUCACAGACUCUAUCCACUUUUGAUGAGUUAAACUAAGAAGCAAAGUUUACAAAGCAUCACUUGGGGUACCUGAGGGUCUGUUCCUCAGGGCUUCCAGAUCUUGGGAGCCAGUAUGUAGGGAGCAUUUAAAUACAAGAAGCACCAUGCCAACCCCACGAAUAACUUUUCCUUAUCUGACCAAUAACCAUCAACAUCUUUACCUAAUACACAGCCCAUACAGAUAUUUUCAGAUCCUAGCACCCAUAGCUAUGGCUUCUGGUAAAAUGUAAGGAUGUGUCACAUUCUUACAAACUCAAGACAAACUGAGCAGAUUAUCCAGUAUUUUCACAACAGUCCACUAUUUAAUCUGCAAGAAUUUAAGGGUCAUCAAUAACAAACCAACAGAAAAUGCCACUAAGCAAAGACAACAGCCAUGAUAUAUUAUAUUCCAAAGUUACAACCAUGAAUUAAGCUUUAAAAGGAAGUUAUUACAUAACCGUUAUAUUUUAAAGACUUUUAAAAUAAGAAUCUCACUUGGAAAUAAUGCAUAGUUCAUCUUUGACUACUGAGUGUGGGCCAUGCACCCCCACUGCCAUGGCCUGAGAGGCAACACCAGAGUGUUCCUCUUCACUGGGCUAGCUGACAUGCUCCACAGUGCAGCAGAGUGCAUGGGUCUCUCCACAAGCAGAGUGAGCUACUCUAUGUGAGAUUCGUGAAAAUACAAGGAUACACAGUCCUCUCUGGAGGGCAAACUAGACAAGCACAUGGAGAAAGGAUGUGGAGGAAUAGUUGGAGAAAUCAGAGACCAUGACACAAAAUUUUGAAAGAGUAAUCACUGAGAGUCAGUCUGUGACUAAUAGAAUUUAAAUUGUUGCUCCUGUAGAAUGAAAAGUAAAGUUGCUAACAGCGCAGAAAACAUCUGCAUCCUGGGAAUCCAGGAAGGGUUUGUAAAAGGCCCCAAACAUGUGCAGAGAUUAAAUAGCUCUAAACAGAAUCAUCAAAGAGAUGAUUCAGGAAACAGCACACAAAGGAAGUCACAGAUGGAUCAAAUGCUCUGGUUACAUUGACCUAAUUUCUUAAUAUAAGGAACAAGAAAUCAGUUUCCAAAAAACACGAAAGAUGCUUCAUCUAACAAUACAAGUCAAUAUUAGACCUAAUUUUUAUAGAGCUAAUGUGUAAAAGUCAAAGAUACUAACUUCUUAAAUGACUCUUAGUACGUUUAAUUUUUGUGCAAUGUCUUAUAAUGACUCAGAGAAUGUGAUAUUGGAAAAAAGUAGAAGAAAGGCAUUGGAAAAGGAGUUUUAGGCACAGGUUUGGUUGUAAAUUUAGUAAAAGACAAUCUAGUCCUUCUAUAUCUAGCAAAUACUUUUACAGGCUCCAAAUGGGUCAAAGACCUUAAGAUACAAAAAUGAAUGUCAUAAAGUUAAAACAAGGAUAUAGUAUCAAGGUAUUAUGACCACUUUUUUAAAGGAAAGGAAUAUUUCAUUUUGUGGAACUUAAACAUUUCCUCUAAUAUUUGACAUCUGGUGGCCCAUCCAAAAGAAAUGAAAAAAAUAUGAAUUAUAAAAGGAUGUCAAAUAUUUUAAAAAUCCAGUGGUUAAUAAGAUGCAGCUAAUUAAGUAAGCAAAGAAAAUAUUCUGCUGCAAAACCAUGCUUGGCCAGCCAGUGAUGGAAAGCAAGACAAAAGAAGAUUAGUUUCCUGCUAUUUUCAAAGAACAAGUAUCUACCCAGGUCAAAAUCUAGAUGGAGACUACUAAAACAAGCAGCUGACUUGGCGUCUACCCACCAGACUGAGCAACAAAGGAACUUAGAAACACCACCAAACAUGCACAACAGUUUUUUUUCCCUCAUUUUGACAGAUGUUCACUAAGUAUUUUCUUAGUGUUCAGCAUGGGACACGUACUGUGUACUUCCUUCAGUUACACAUCCCUGGCUUUCUAGAACUUAAAUUUUUAUCUAUUUAAUAAUACAAAGAAGGAAAUUCAGAAAGAAAAAGCAACAUGGUACACAAGUAUGCUGAAGAAACUGACCACAAGCAAUAAAACAAAGUCUCAACAAGCUCAAGAAGUUAUCCCAAGAUCUACUGACACAAAUCACUAAUCUCAAAAUUUUCUGAAAAUAUUUAACAGCUAAUAAGAGCCCUAGAAAACUUGAAAAACUGAAACACAUAUAAAUUUUAAAUGUGUGUCUACAAUCACCCUUCGUAGUGCACCGUGUAAGCAGAUGAUGGCAACUAAGAAAGACUAAUUCCUGAAAAGAAAUCCAGAUGGACAGAUUCUGUUUUGCCUCAACAGGGUCGUUUCUAAAAUAACCAUUGUUUUUUUUAAAUCUGACAAAACAGGAAACAGAAGUAACUGGGAUAAAACGAAAAUCUAGAUCCUUUCUACUGUGCUAUAUGUCUAUCUUCUCGUUAAUGUGUUCCUAAAACUAUGAUUUCUUUUAAUGUUUGUGGUUUUACAAUUUAUUCUACAAGGAAACCAAUAGGAAAGACUUGCCAAUUUCUUUGGAACUGUAAUGCAAGGUAGUAAAACAAAUGAAGAUCUUG